rnacentral:rRNA from 1 species
UGGGGAAUAUUGGACAAUGGGCGCAAGCCUGAUCCAGCCAUGCCGCGUGAGUGAUGAAGGCCUUAGGGUUGUAAAGCUCUUUCGCCGGUGAAGAUAAUGACGGUAAUCGGAGAAGAAGCCCCGGCUAACUUCGUGCCAGCAGCCGCGGUAAUACGAAGGGGGCUAGCGUUGCUCGGAAUCACUGGGCGUAAAGCGCACGUAGGCGGAUCGUUAAGUCAGGGGUGAAAUCCUGGAGCUCAACUCCAGAACUGCCCUUGAUACUGGCGAUCUCGAGUUCGAGAGAGGUUGGUGGAACUCCGAGUGUAGAGGUGAAAUUCGUAGAUAUUCGGAAGAACACCAGUGGCGAAGGCGGCCAAACUGGCUCGAUACUGACGCUGAGGUGCGAAAGCGUGGGGAGCAAAACAGGAUUAGAUACCCUGGUAGUCCACGCCGUAAAACGAUGGAUGCUAGCCGUUGGGGGGUUUACCUCUCAGUGGCGCAGCUAACGCCUUAAGCAUCCCGCCUGGGGAGUACGGUCGCAAGAUUAAAAACUCAAAAUGAAUUGAC